CCAAUAGCGUAUAUUAAAGUUGUUGCAGUUAAAAAGCUCGUAGUUGAAUUUCGGGGUUAGCAGGUCGGUCGUGCCAUCGGUAUGAACUGGUCUCGCUGAUCCCUCCCUCUUGACGAACUGUGAUGCCAUUAAUUUGGUGUCGCAGGGAAUCAGGACUGUUACUUUGAAAAAAUUAGAGUGUUUAAAGCAGGCUCACGCUUGAAUACAUUAGCAUGGAAUAAUGAAAUAGGACGUUUGAUCCUAUUUUGUUGGUUUCUAGGAUUGACGUAAUGAUUAAUAGGGAUAGUUGGGGGCAUUAGUAUUCAAUUGUCAGAGGUGAAAUUCUUGGAUUUAUUGAAGACUAACUACUGCGAAAGCAUUUGCCAAGGAUGUUUUCAUUAAUCAAGAACGAAAGUUAGGGGAUCGAAGACGAUCAGAUACCGUCGUAGUCUUAACCAUAAACUAUGCCGACUAGGGAUCGGAUGAUGUUAAUUUUUUAAUGACUCAUUCGGCGCCUUACG
rnacentral:rRNA from 2 species